CUGGUGAAGAGGGAGGCAUUGUCUUCUACGAUUUCCCACCCUCUUUUAGUUUCCUGGCAAAUCUUUGCUGGAAAUGUUAUACGUGAUCUUCUGAGAUGAACCAGAUAAAAAGUUUAUUCUAAGAAGUUUCCCCUGAAGAUGAUCACUAGCUGGCGGAUCAUUUCCUAUAUGGGCAUCAACCAGAGUACUCAUAACAUUCAUAUGAGAAACAAGUGACCCGUUUCCCAUUGAUAGCACAAAGUCAAAUGGGCACAUCAAAGCAUCUUCAUACAAAAGGGAAAAAUGGAAACAAAACUGUGAAUGCAUAAUCCAUGAUGCACUUAUCCAGUGAAAUUCUAUCCCAAAAUCAGAGGAAGAAAUUGUGUAUUAACACAAUUGCAUAGAUGCACCUUAUGUCUUUUGUUAAGUGAAAAUCGUUGGACUCUGUAACUUCAUAUUGUAUGGUUCUACAAAAGAUAAUUCAUUUAUAUAUAUAUUUUGGUACCAGUAAUCGAAGUCAGGAUCUUGCAUUUGCCAGGCAGGUGCUUGUGCUGCUGAGCCAUAUCCCUGGCCCUUGUAUCCUUUUUCAAAAGGUAAACCUCUAUGCAUGGAACAUAUAUUAACCCAACAUAUGAGGUAGUAGAUGACUGUUUGAUUACAGUGGAGGCACAUAGGUCUUUCACAUAAGGUUUAAGGCCACACUGGGGACACAUGGAAAAGGAAAAUACAUGGAAAACCUAAGAGACUGUAUGCCAAGUAAAACAAAGGUGUGUGUAAAAUCCCAAGCCCUUCAAAGAAAUGCUUGUCCCCACUUACCUAGAGCAUAGAGACUCAACACAAUGCAUGGUACAAAUCACAGACUGCAUUUUCAAAUCUCUUACUUGCAAACAUUUCAAUUCAGUUCUCAUAUAUUCUUCUAAAGGAAUAUGACACACACACACACAUCAAAUACGUCUCUACUCUCCUCUCUUUUUUAUUUUAAAGUGGAAA